UACGGAGGAUCCGAGCGUUAUCCUGAUUUAUUGGGUUUAAAGGGUGCGCAGGCGGGGGAUUAAGUCGGCGGUGAAAUUUUGCAGCUCAACUGUAACAGUGCCGUUGAUACUGCAUGGCUAGGAUUUGGUUGCUGUGGGUGGAAUGUGUGGUGUAGCGGUGAAAUGCUUAGAUAUCACACAGAAUAUCAAUUGCGAAGGCAGCUCACAAAGCCAAGAUUGACGCUGAGGCACGAAAGUGUGGGGAUCAAA
rnacentral:rRNA from 1 species